rnacentral:rRNA from 1 species
AACAAACGCUGGCGGCGUGCCUAAUACAUGCAAGUCGAGCGGACAGAAGGGAGCUUGCUCCCGGAAGUUAGCGGCGGACGGGUGAGUAACACGUGGGCAACCUACCCUGUAGAUCGGGAUAACAUCGAGAAAUCGGUGCUAAUACCGGAUAAUCAUUUGAAGUGCAUGCUUCGAAUGUAAAAGAUGGCUCCGGCUAUCACUAUGGGAUGGGCCCGCGGCGCAUUAGCUAGUUGGUAAGGUAAUGGCUUACCAAGGCAACGAUGCGUAGCCGACCUGAGAGGGUGAUCGGCCACACUGGGACUGAGACACGGCCCAGACUCCUACGGGAGGCAGCAGUAGGGAAUCUUCCGCAAUGGACGAAAGUCUGACGGAGCAACGCCGCGUGAGUGAUGAAGGUUUUCGGAUCGUAAAGCUCUGUUGUUAGGGAAGAACAAGUGCCGUUUGAAUAAGGCGGCGCCUUGACGGUACCUAACCAGAAAGCCACGGCUAACUACGUGCCAGCCGCCGCAGUAAUAC